rnacentral:rRNA from 1 species
UAUGUGAUCGUCUCUCGCAUAUCAAUAAGCGGAGGAAAAGAAACUAACAAGGAUUCCCCUAGUAACGGCGAGUGAGGCGGGAAGAGCUCAAAUCUGAAAUCUUAAAGGGUUUCCCUUUACGAAUUGUAGUUUAAAGAAGUGCUUUCUGUUGAGGUUUUGGUAAAAGUUCUUUGGAAUAGGACAUCAUAGAGGGUGAGAAUCCCGUAUUUGACCUUUACUUUCAACUUUGUGAUACACUUUCAAAGAGUCGGAUUGUUUGGGAAUGCAGUCCAAAAUGGGUGGUAAAUUUCAUCUAAAGCUAAAUAUUGGCGAGAGACCGAUAGCGAACAAGUACCGUGAGGGAAAGAUGAAAAGAACUUUGAAAAGAGAGUUAAACAGUACGUGAAAUUGUCAAAAGGGAAGCGUUUGACACCAGUGUUGUUUUUCUGAAAAUCAAUUAAAGAACUGUUUAUGCUAAGCUGUUUAGACUUUAUCAGCUAACUGUUUAGUUUUGAGCUUUUCUUUAAUGCACUUUUCAGUUAACAAGUCAACAUCAAUUUCUUUUGCUGUAAAAAAGCUUGAGGAAGGUGGCUUGAGAUUCGUCCUUAAGUGUUUAUAGCCUCUUGCCUAUGCAGUCGGAGAGAUUGAGGUCUGCAGCGUAGAUCCUUCGGGGCUAAAUGCAUUUGUGCUAAGUUAUAACAUUUUAUAGACAACUUGUUGACUAUGAUUUGUCUUGUAGCUUACUCGCUUAUGUUAUUUUACCUACGCUUAGGAUGUUGACGAUCAGCUGAGCGCG